rnacentral:rRNA from 1 species
AUUGAACGCUGGCGGCAUGGCUAAAACAUGCAAGUCGAACGAGAACCUCGCAAGAGGGGACAGUGGCGGAAGGGUCAGUAAUGGGAUCGAAUGUACCCCGAGGUGGAGGAUAGCGUUGGGAGACUAACGGUAAUACUCCAUGUCCUCUACGGAGAAAAGAUUUAUCGCCUUGGGAGCAGCGAUCCUCCUAUCAGGUAGUU